rnacentral:rRNA from 1 species
AUUGAACGCUGGCGGCAGGCUUAACACAUGCAAGUCGAGCGGGGUGAUGGUGCUUGCACUAUCACUUAGCGGCGGACGGGUGAGUAAUGCUUAGGAAUCUGCCUAUUAGUGGGGGACAACAUCUCGAAAGGGAUGCUAAUACCGCAUACGUCCUACGGGAGAAAGCAGGGGAUCACUUGUGACCUUGCGCUAAUAGAUGAGCCUAAGUCGGAUUAGCUAGUUGGUGGGGUAAAGGCCUACCAGGGCGACGAUCUGUAGCGGGUCUGAGAGGAUGAUCCGCCACACUGGGACUGAGACACGGCCCAGACUCCUACGGGAGGCAGCAGUGGGGAAUAUUGGACAGUGGGGGGAACCCUGAUCCAGCCAUGCCGCGUGUGUGAAGAAGGCCUUAUGGUUGUAAAGCACUUUAAGCGAGGAGGAGACUCUUUUGGUUAAUACCCAAGAUGAGUGGACGUUACUCGCAGAAUAAGCACCGGCUAACUCUGUGCCAGCCGCCGCCGUAA